rnacentral:lncRNA from 1 species
ACAGUUUGACAAAAUGAAGCUUGAGUUUGAAGCAAAGAUAGCUAACUUGGACCAAGAGUUACUCAGGUCUGCAGCAGAAAAUUCUGCACUUACGAGGUCUUUGCAGGAGCGUUCAAGGAUGGUGAUAAAGCUCAGUGAAGAAAAAGCCCAAGCUGAAGCAGAAAUAGAGAUUUUCAAGAGCAAUAUUGAGUCAUGUGAAAAAGAAAUACAUUCUCUGAAAUAUGAACUCCAUAUUGCCUCAAAGGAGCUAGAAAUUCGUAAUGAGGAGAAAAAUAUGAGUGUACGGUCUGCAGAAGUAGCAAACAAGCAACACCUGGAGGGAGUAAAGAAAAUUGUGAAACUGGAAGCAGAGUGUCAGAGAUUACGUGGUCUUGUCCGGAAGAAGUUACCUGGGCCUGCAGCGUUGGCCCAAAUACCUAGAGGGAGUAAAGAAAAUUGCGAAACUGGAAGCAGAGUGUCAGAGAUUACGUGGUCUUCUCCGUAAGAAGUUACCUGGGCCUGCAGCGUUGGCCCAAAUGAAGCUUGAAGUUGAGAGUUUGGGUCGAGAUUAUGGGGAUAGCCGUGUAAAGAAAUCCCAAGGCAGGCCUUCUAGUCCACAGUUUUCCAGUUUACCAGAUUUUUCAUUUGAUACUGUGC